CCGGACAUAGCUCAGUUGGUAGAGCAGCGGCCUUAUAAGCCGUGUGUCAUGAGUUCGAUUCUCAUUGUCCGGA
rnacentral:tRNA from 1 species